rnacentral:lncRNA from 1 species
UUUCCCGGCGUCGAUACAUAGGAUACAUAGAUCUAUGUGUAAAAUUCACAGAGACUGCAUAGAAAAUGAUUUUUGAUUUUAUAGAUUUACUCCUGUUGGUCAGUAAUGACCAGAUGACGUCGACGAAAAAUACAAACUGCAGCGGACGGAUCGGAUGAGGGUGCAUUUACUGUUACCGUAAUACACUACAGUAUAGCUCUACAAGAUAUUGUGAAUGGUAAAAGUGUAUCCAUUUUGGACCGACAUAUAUGUAGCUGUCAGUGGGAUUGACAUUCAAUAUUUAGAACAUCACAUUGCUUGAAGAAUAAGGGACUGUAGUGCCUGUUAAAGGAUUGGUAGACACAACAAGAUGCAAAAUGCGAUGAUAACAAUCUACUACUGAAAUUUGGACCCGCAACUUACAUUGCUCAAAUCACAAUUGGCAUUCCGUAUGCAAUGAGGGAAAUUCUUUUGUAAACACUGUCCAAAGUCAACACAGUCGGAAAAUUUCCAGAGGUAAAUUUAACCAAAGUCGAGACCAUACCUAAUUUCAAGUGAACUGUUCUGUUGUGUUGUUCCAUGGAAAGCAGAAACCAUCUACAUUAUUAGAAAAAUAAUUGAAAGCUAGCGAAAAUGUUAUGUACCAAUAAUGUAUGGUAAUCAAAGAUUGGUAUCAACUUUACGGAAUGAAGUGGAUAAAUAUAUUAAAGACUUUCAUCUGAUUGGAUUGCCGGAGCAGCCACCUAAUAACAUGAUUUAAUCCCACGGAUGUGUGCUGUCUGACAAUAUCCGGACUCCUCUGAUAUAUAUAAAAGUGAUAUAAAUGAAAGUGUGACUUUAUGUGCUGUAAUGAAGUAUCUUUACUGAAAACGACAGUCUAUUGAGGUAACCAACGAAUCCCCAGAUUGUGUGAUUUCAUAGAACAUUUAGAACUAACCAAGAAUGUACAACCACCACAGACCAACAGCUUUAUCAGAAAAUAUCAUAAACAGUUACUGUAACAGAUGUAAAUGUAGAUUUUUGCCAAUUGUUAUGUUCAUUUGUUUUUGUUUAUUUUGUUAAAUGCCAUUUUUGAAAGUAUUUCAUUUAUGUAACUUUUCUACAUGAAUCAGAGGUGUUUGAUGAAUGAUUUUAUACAUAAUUAUUUUAACAAAUCGUCAAGGAGAACAUUAGCAUUGUCCGGGAAUCAAACUCAUGACCGCAUGAUACAACGUUCUGCACCCUCCAUAUUUAGCUGAGUGGGCGGGCUCAUUGCUGUUUUAUUUGUAAAAGGUUAAGUGUAGUAAGGGUUGUCUUCAAAAUAAUGAAGUUUUUUGUUCUACUCACGUUACUUUAAUUCAUUUCAGUUUUACACAGUGUUUUGGGGAAAAAUGUUGUAGAUCAAUGUGGGCUGUUUCAUAUUAUAUUAAAAGUGGAGUUAUGCACAUUUUUAGCUCACCUGAGCACAAAGUGCUCAAAGGUGAGCU